UUAAAUUGAAGAGUUUGAUCAUGGCUCAGAUUGAACGCUGGCGGCAGGCCUAACACAUGCAAGUCGAACGGUAACAGGAAGCAGCUUGCUGCUUUGCUGACGAGUGGCGGACGGGUGAGUAAUGUCUGGGAAACUGCCUGAUGGAGGGGGAUAACUACUGGAAACGGUAGCUAAUACCGCAUAACGUCGCAAGACCAAAGAGGGGGACCUUCGGGCCUCUUGCCAUCGGAUGUGCCCAGAUGGGAUUAGCUAGUAGGUGGGGUAACGGCUCACCUAGGCGACGAUCCCUAGCUGGUCUGAGAGGAUGACCAGCCACACUGGAACUGAGACACGGUCCAGACUCCUACGGGAGGCAGCAGUGGGGAAUAUUGCACAAUGGGCGCAAGCCUGAUGCAGCCAUGCCGCGUGUAUGAAGAAGGCCUUCGGGUUGUAAAGUACUUUCAG
rnacentral:rRNA from 1 species